GGGGGGGGGGGGGGGGGGGGGGGGGGGGGGGGGGGGGGGGGGGGGGGGGGGGGGGGGGGGGGGGGGGGGGGGGGGGGGGGGGGGGGCCUGUGCGGGGACAGGUGUGCAGUGACACAGCGGGGACACACCUGGGACACACCUGUACAGAGAGGGACACACCUGGGACACACCUGGGACACACCUGUACAGAGAGGGACACACCUGGGACACACCUGGGACACACCUGUACAGAGAGGGACACACCUGGGACACACCUGGGACACACCUGUACAGAGAGGGACACACCUGGGACACACCUGGGACACACCUGUACAGAGAGGGACACACCUGGGACACACCUGGGACACACCUGUACAGAGAGGGACACACCUGGGACACACCUGGGACACACCUGUACAGAGAGGGACACACCUGGGACACACCUGGGACACACCUGUACAGAGAGGGACACACCUGGGACACACCUGGGACACACCUGUACAGAGAGGGACACACCUGGGACACACCUGGGACACACCUGUACAGAGAGGGACACACCUGGGACACACCUGGGACACACCUGUACAGAGAGGGACACACCUGGGACACACCUGGGACACACCUGUACAGAGAGGGACACACCUGCCCGGGCUGCCAGCGGCGCUUCAUGUGGAGGGACAGCUUCGUGAGACACCGCGGCGCCUGUGCGGGGACAGGUGUGCAGUGACACAGCGGGGACAGGUGUGCAGUGACACAGCGGGGACAGGUGUGCUGUGACACAGCGGGGACACAGCUGGGACACAUGUGACACAGCGGGGACACAGCUGGGACACACCUGGGACACACCUGUACAGAGAGCGUCACACCUGGGACACACCUGUACAGAGAGCGUCACACCUGGGACACACCUGGGACACACCUGGGACACGCCUGUACAGAGAGGGACACACCUGGGACACACCUGUACAGAGAGGGACACACCUGGGACACACCUGUACAGAGAGGGACACACCUGGGACACACCUGUACAGAGAGGGACACACCUGGGACACACCUGUACAGAGAGGGACACACCUGGGACACACCUGUACAGAGAGGGACACACCUGGGACACACCUGUACAGAGAGGGACACACCUAAUGUCACACCAGGACAGGUGACGUCACACCUGGGCACAGGUGAUGCAACACCUGGACAUGUGAAGGCAUCUGGAGGGCACGGAGCCACCUGGGAUUGGUGACGUCACACCUGGGACAGGUGACAUCAUACCUGGGAUGGGCGACAUCACACCUGGAUUUGUGACGUCACACGUGGGAUCGGUGGCGUCACACCUGAGAGGAUCGGUGACGUCACACCUGAGAUCGGUGACGUCACACCUGGGAUCGAUGAUGUCACACCUGAGAGGAUCGGUGACGUCACACCUGGAUCCCCUCCUCAAGGACACCUGGACCUCCCAAAAAACAGGGGGGGGGGGGGGGGGGGGGGGGGGGGGGGGGGGG
rnacentral:lncRNA from 12 species